GUUGAGGUGCCUGACCUGCCAGCCAGGUCUGAGGGAGCAGGGACUCCUUCUGCCCAGCACAAGUGGGAUACCUCUUAGCCGGGAUACCUCAACAUGCUGUCUUGUUUACGGCUCUCUUUUGGAAACCUGCCUGCUGACGGAGUAGAAAGAAGAUAUUAGUUAUCAUAAUGUGCAUGAACUUGGACUUCAAUGUAAAAUUUAUAAAGAAGAUACAAAUGAAUGGUUUCUACUAAAUAAGGGGAACUGGAAGUGCUCUGUAGCAGUAUGAGCUAUUGACCUCACCCCUUUUUAAAUUCAGCCCUUCCCUGUACACAUGUAAUGAGGGCUCUGAGUCUGACC